rfam:Citrus sinensis cultivar Ridge Pineapple sweet orange scaffold00563_contig_7, whole genome shotgun sequence.
AUGCCACGAUGAGGACAUCUCCUGAGUAACUCUUAAAAACCUUCUGAUGCAUCAUAUAAGCUCUCAUUUUCAAGUUGAUGGAAAGAUGUGAUCGCGUUCCUCAAUUU